AGCAGCCGCGGUAAUUCCAGCUCCAAUAGCGUAUAUUAAAGUUGUUGCAGUUAAAAAGCUCGUAGUUGAAUUUCGGGAUCAAUAUGUUGGUCGUGCCUUGGUACGUACUGGCAUUAUCGAUUCCUACCUUCUGAAGAACCUCGAUGUCAUUAAUUUGGUGUCUUGGGGAAUCAGGACUGUUACUUUGAAAAAAUUAGAGUGUUUAAAGCAGGCUCGCGCUUGAAUACAUUAGCAUGGAAUAAUGAAAUAGGACGUUUGAUUCUAUUUUGUUGGUUUCUAGGAUCGACGUAAUGAUUAAUAGGGAUAGUUGGGGGCAUUAGUAUUCAAUUGUCAGAGGUGAAAUUCUUGGAUUUAUUGAAGACUAACUACUGCGAAAGCAUUUGCCAAGGAUGUUUUCAUUAAUCAAGAACGAAAGUUAGGGGAUCGAAGACGAUCAGAUACCGUCGUAGUCUUAACCAUAAACUAUGCCGACUAGGGAUCGGAUGAUGUAAUUUUUAAUGACUCAUUCGGUGUCC
rnacentral:rRNA from 1 species